rnacentral:rRNA from 1 species
GACGAACGCUGGCGGCGUGCUUAACACAUGCAAGUCGAACGAUGAACCAGGGCUUGCCCUGGGGAUUAGUGGCGAACGGGUGAGUAACACGUGGGCAACCUGCCCCAGACACCGGGAUAACCUCUCGAAAGAGUGGCUAAUACCGGAUACGACCACUUUGGGCAUCCAACGGUGGUGGAAAGGAUUCUGGUCUGGGAUGGGCCCGCGGCCUAUCAGCUUGUUGGUGGGGUAAUGGCCUACCAAGGCGACGACGGGUAGCCGGCCUGAGAGGGCGACCGGCCACACUGGGACUGAGACACGGCCCAGACUCCUACGAGAGGCAGCAGUGGGGAAUAUUGCGCAAUGGGCGAAAGCCUGACGCAGCGACGCCGCGUGAGGGACGAAGGUCUUCGGAUUGUAAACCUCUUUCAGCAGGGACGAAGCGAAAGUGACUGUACCUGCAGAAGAAGCACCGGCUAACUACGUGCCAGCAGCCGCAGUAAAAC